GGGGUAACGGAAGUAGCUUGCUACUAGACGACGACCGGCGCACGGGUGAGUAACGCGUAUGUAAUCUGCCUUGUACAGAGGGAUAGCCCAGAGAAAUUUGGAUUAAUACCUCAUAGUAUUACUGGAUCGCAUGAUUUGGUAAUUAAAGCUCCGGCGGUACAAGAUGAACAUGCGUGACAUUAGCUAGUUGGUAAGGUAACGGCUUACCAAGGCUACGAUGUCUAGGGGUUCUGAGAGGAUGAUCCCCCACACUGGUACUGAGACACGGACCAGACUCCUACGGGAGGCAGCAGUGAGGAAUAUUGGUCAAUGGACGCAAGUCUGAACCAGCCAUCCCGCGUGAAGGAUGACUGCCCUAUGGGUUGUAAACUUCCUUUUAUAUGCAAAUAAACCUACUUUCGUGAAAGUAGCUGAAGGUAGCAUAUGAAUAAACACCGGCUAACUCCGUGCCAGCAGCCGCGGUAAUACGGAGGGUGUAAGCGUUAUCCGGAUUUAUUGGG
rnacentral:rRNA from 1 species